GACUUCGAGGAGUGUUGCGAGGCCCCAAGCCCCAGGCUCGAAGCGGAUUGUCCCAACGGCACUCACCUGUA
rnacentral:ncRNA from 2 species